GAUUUUAUAAAGAUGUUGUUUUGAAAGCAACUUGUAAGAAAUAGUUCUUUAAAGUCA
rnacentral:tRNA from 1 species